rnacentral:rRNA from 1 species
CACGUAGUUAGCCGUGGCUUUCUCAUAAGGUACCGUCAAUUGAUAGUCAUUUCCUCCUAUCACCUUUCUUCCCUUAUAACAGAAUUUUACAACCCGAGGGCCUUCUUCAUUCACGCGGCGUUGCUCGGUCAGGCUUUCGCCCAUUGCCGAAGAUUCCCUAUUGCUGCCUCCCGUAGGAGUCUGGGCCGUGUCUCAGUCCCAGUGUGGCCGUUCACCCUCUCAGGUCGGCUACGCAUCGUCGCCUUGGUAGGCCUUUACCCCACCAACUAGCUAAUGCGCCGCAGGCUCAUCCAUCAGUGAUGCCAGGAGCAUCUUUAAACUUUCGUCCUAUCCGGUAUUAGCGAUCGUUUCCAAUCGUUGUCCCCGUCUGAUGGGCAGAUUACCUACGUGUUACUCACCCGUUCGCCGCUUCCCACCGAAGUGGUUCGCUCGACUUGCAUGUAUUAGGCACGCCGCCAGCGUUCAUCCUGAGCCAGGAUCAAACUCU